rnacentral:tRNA from 1 species
GUUUAGUUAGCUUGGUUGAUAGCGCGUCUGCCUCCUAAGCGGUAGGCCGCGGGUUCGAUUCCCGCUCGGGGCG